rnacentral:rRNA from 1 species
CCUACGGGAGGCAGCAGUGAGGAAUAUUGGUCAAUGGGCGAGAGCCUGAACCAGCCAAGUCGCGUGAGGGAGUACUGCCCUAUGGGUUGUAAACCUCUUUUGUCGGGGAGCAAAAGCCGGACGUGUCCGGCUGUGAGAGUACCCGAAGAAAAAGCAUCGGCUAACUCCGUGCCAGCAGCCGCGGUAAUACGGAGGAUGCGAGCGUUAGCCGGAUUUAUUGGGUUUAAAGGGUGCGCAGGCGGAUUUUUAAUUCAGCGGUAAAAUCGUGGGGCUCAACCCCAUCCAGCCGUUGAAACUGGGGAUCUAGAGUGUGCGAGAGGUAUGCGGAAUGCGUGGUGUAGCGGUGAAAUGCAUAGAUAUCACGCAGAACCCCGAUUGCGAAGGCAGCAUACCGGUGCACAACUGACGCUCAGGCACGAAAGCGUGGGUAUCGAACAGGAUUAGAUACCCGAGUAGUC